GCUUGUUGUCAAAUAUUAUGUGACAUAGUGACAACACAUUCAUUUCUUUUAUUUUAAAGACUAAGAAGUUUUUUGUUUGCUAAUAAGUGUUUGUUAGUCACGAAACCAAUACAAGAAACCAACAAUGCCAGCAACCAGACGUAUAAACUUAAGCCGCAGAACUCGAAAUACAGCAAGUCAAAGAUAUAUAAGAGCAAAUCUAACUGAUGAACAACGCGAAGCUCGAAAUGAACUUCAACGGAAUCGAAAUCAACAUAAAAAUGUUGUGUUUAAUCCCCACAGAGCUGCAUUUAGUUAUAAUGUGGCAAUUGAUUACAGUUCAGAGCCAAUUGUUGCUAUUGGACUAAUGAAUAUUGUGUGUCCACAUUGCAAUGCAUUGAAAUUCAAAAAAGAAGCCCCUGGAUUGUAGCCAUUGGUACCACCACCAGAGCCACUACAUUUAUUUGUUAUGGAAAUGGGCCAGAUUCUAAUCAUUUUUUGACUCAUAUCCAGCAAUACAAUAAUUGCUUUCAAAUUACGUCAUUUGGCGCAACAAAAGUUAUUCGAGACAAUUUUUUUACCUACUUUCAAAGUAAAUUCAGGGUCAAAUAUAUCAUAAAACAGGUUCCUUAUUGCCAGUGCCUGAUGAUGACUAUAAAUUUUUGCAAAUAUAUUUUAAGGGCAAUUCAACAAAAGAAGUCGAUCAGCGUUUUGCACACAACAACUCAGUGAAAAGAUUUAUUGUGGAACAACUUCAAACAUUUUUCCAUCAACACAAUGGAUUAGUUGCAUUAUUCACAACUGCAUUAGACCGCAUGCCAUCAAAUAAUCAUAAAAUUGUCAUUAAUUUUAUGAGGCGCCUGCAGGACAACAUGCUGGACGUUUUAAUGCGCCAAGAAAUGAUGAAGUGUCUAUUGUCGUCGUAGGAGAAAAUUUAGAAAAGCGAGUCAUUGUUUUACAUCGACGGAACGAUAAACUUAAGCGUGUGUCUGAAACACAUCGAUCAUAUGAUGCUUUACAAUAACCUUUCCUAUAUUUUGGCAAGGUGAAGACGGCUAUCAUUUUUAAAUUUGGAUAAUAAAUACAGUUACAGGUGCUGAAACGAACAAAAAAGUCAGUUCAACGAAUUAUUAUUCAUACAGACUGAAGGUUCGCUCAAAGAGGACAAUCACAUCUUUAAGUAGGGGUGCCAAAGCUCUGCACACAGGAGAGCUAACUCCCACACCAAUGCAAAAAAUCAUUAAUACAUUGGUUCGAGAAUUUUUUUCACAUCCAUGUGGGUGCACUGA